rnacentral:tRNA from 1 species
GCGCCUGUAGCUCAGUUGGAUAGAGCACUGGAUUCCGGAUCCAGGUGUCGGGGGUUCAAAUCCCUCCAGGCGUA